CACAUCUUCAUUUCAUACAGAAGUUACAUCAAACAUCAUCAGUUUGGGCAGCUCACGUGGGGAACGUUCCACCGUACAGUCAGAGAUCUUGCAGCCAGUCCAAAACCCUAUCCUUCCUUAUGUGGGUCCAAUUUCAGGAGGACUGAGAGAAGGAAUGGCCUUGUACUUGCAGGGAGUUGUUCCUACUAAUGCUGACCGGUUUGCAAUAAAUUUCAAGACCGGGUCAUCUAAAACUGAUGACACUGCUUUCCACUUCAAUCCCCGAAUGGGCUCAAAUGUGGCCAUGAACAGCUUCAGGGAUGGAAAAUGGGAAAGUGCGGAAAGUGUCUCUGACAACCCCUUUAAAAAGGGAGAAGCUUUUAAAAUGUUCAUGGUCAUCAAAUCCGAAGGAUAUC